rnacentral:rRNA from 1 species
AACGAACGCUGGCGGCAGGCCUAACACAUGCAAGUCGAACGCUCUCUUCGGAGGGAGUGGCAGACGGGUGAGUAACACGUGGGAACCUACCCCUUGGUACGGAAUAACUGAUGGAAACGUUAGCUAAUACCGUAUGAGCGCUGAGGCGGAAAGAUUUAUCGCCAAGGGAUGGGCCCGCGUAGGAUUAGCUAGUUGGUGGGGUAAAGGCCUACCAAGGCGACGAUCCUUAGCUGGUCUGAGAGGAUGAUCAGCCACACUGGGACUGAGACACGGCCCAGACUCCUACGGGAGGCAGCAGUGGGGAAUAUUGGACAAUGGGCGGAAGCCUGAUCCAGCCAUGCCGCGUGAGUGAUGAAGGCCUUAGGGUUGUAAAGCUCUUUCACCUGGGAAGAUAAUGACGGUACCAGGAGAAGAAGCCCCGGCUAACUUCGUGCCAGCCGCCGCAGUAAGAC